rnacentral:rRNA from 1 species
GCCACGCCGCGUGAGCGAAGAAGGCUUUCGGGAUGUAAAGCUCUUUUAUUAGGGACGAAAAGAGCGGUACAUGUAACCUAAUGACUAGAUUCCGGCUAACUACCUGCCACCCGCCUAGCGCCAGCCGCCGCGGUAAU